rnacentral:rRNA from 1 species
GAUGAACGCUGGCGGCGUGCCUAAUACAUGCAAGUCGAGCGAACGGACGAGAAGCUUGCUUCUCUGAUGUUAGCGGCGGACGGGUGAGUAACACGUGGAUAACCUACCUAUAAGACUGGGAUAACUUCGGGAAACCGGGGCUAAUACCGGAUAAUAUUUUGAACCGCAUGGUUCAAAAGUGAAUGACGGUCUUGCUGUCACUUAUAGAUGGAUCCGCGCUGCAUUAGCUAGUUGGUAAGGUAACGGCUUACCAAGGCAACGAUGCAUAGCCGACCUGAGAGGGUGAUCGGCCACACUGGAACUGAGACACGGUCCAGACUCCUACGGGAGGCAGCAGUAGGGAAUCUUCCGCAAUGGGCGAAAGCCUGACGGAGCAACGCCGCGUGAGUGAUGAAGGUCUUCGGAUCGUAAAACUCUGUUAUUAGGGAAGAACAGAUGUGUAAGUAACUGUGCACAUCUUGACGGUACCUAAACAGAAAGCCACGGCUAACUACGUG